GUUAUAUAGUCAAGCAACUAAGCGCAUACGGUGGAUGCCUUGGCAGUCAGAGGCGAUGAAAGACGUGGAAGCCUGCGAUAAGGUUCGGGGAGCUGGCAAACGAGCUGUGAUCCGGACAUCUCUGAAUGGGGAAACCCACCAACCUUCGGGUUGGUAUCUUGCACUGAAUACAUAGGUGUAAGAGGCGAACCAGGGGAACUGAAACAUCUAAGUACCCUGAGGAAAAGAAAUCAACCGAGAUUCCCUAAGUAGCGGCGAGCGAACGGGGACCAGCCCUUAAGCUGAACAACUGGUAGGAGAAGGCUCUGGAAAGUGCCGCCAUAGUGGGUGAUAGCCCCGUAUCCGAAACCUGAGUUCAGUGAAAACGAGUAGGACGGGACACGUGAUAUCCUGUCUGAAGAUGGGGGGACCAUCCUCCAAGGCUAAAUACUCCUGACUGACCGAUAGUGAACCAGUACCGUGAGGGAAAGGCGAAAAGAACCCCUGUGAGGGGAGUGAAAUAGACCCUGAAACCGUAUGCGUACAAGCAGUCGGAGCAGACUUGUUCUGUGACGGCGUACCUUUUGUAUAAUGGGUCAGCGACUUAUGUUCAGUGGCGAGGUUAACCGUUUAGGGGAGCCGUAGGGAAACCGAGUCUGAAUAGGGCGAUUUAGUCGCUGGGCAUAGACCCGAAACCGGGCGAUCUAUCCAUGAGCAGGUUGAAGGUGCCGUAACAGGCACUGGAGGACCGAACCCACUGUCGUUGAAAAGCCAGGGGAUGACUUGUGGAUCGGAGUGAAAGGCUAAUCAAGCCCGGAGAUAGCUGGUUCUCCCCGAAAGCUAUUUAGGUAGCGCCUCGGACGAAUACCACUGGGGGUAGAGCACUGUUUGGGCUAGGGGGUCAUCUCGACUUACCAACCCCAUGCAAACUCCGAAUACCAGUGAGUACUAUCCGGGAGACACACGGCGGGUGCUAACGUCCGUCGUGAAGAGGGAAACAACCCAGACCGCCAGCUAAGGUCCCCAAGUACCAGUUAAGUGGGAAACGAUGUGGGAAGGCUCAGACAGCUAGGAGGUUGGCUUAGAAGCAGCCACCCUUUAAAGAAAGCGUAAUAGCUCACUAGUCGAGUCGGCCUGCGCGGAAGAUGUAACGGGGCUCAAACUGG
rnacentral:rRNA from 1 species